rnacentral:rRNA from 1 species
UACGGAGGGUGCAAGCGUUAUCCGGAAUCACUGGGUUUAAAGGGUGCGUAGGCGGUUUUGUAAGUCAGUCGUGAAAUCGCUGGGCUUAACCCAUGCAAUUGCGAUUGAUACUGUGAGACUUGAAUGGGGUUUAGGCAGGCGGAAUGUGGCAUGUAGCGGUGAAAUGCAUAGAUAUGCCAUAGAACACCGAUUGCGAAGGCAGCCUGCUGGGCCUUUAUUGACGCUGAGGCACGAAAGCGUGGGGAGCAAACAGG